CCUACGGGAGGCAGCAGUGGGGAAGAAUGCACAAUGGGGGAAACCCUGAUGCAGCGACGCCGCGGGAGAGAUGAAGGAGGUCGGGAGGGAAAGCUCGAUCAGCAGGGAAGAAAAGGACGGUACCUGACUAAGAAGCCCCGGCUAACGCCGUGCCAGCAGCCGCGGUAAUACGUAGGGGGCAAGCGUUCUCCGGAUUUACUGGGUGGAAAGGGAGCGUAGACGGUCCUGCAAGCCAGAUGUGAAAGCCCGGGGCUCAACCCCGGGACUGCAUUUGGAACUGUAAGGCUAGAGUGUCGGAGAGGCAGGCGGACUUCCUAGUGUAGCGGUGACAUGCGUAGAUAUUAGGCGGACCCCCAGUGGCGAAGGCGGCCUGCUGGACGAUGACUGACGUUGAGGCUCGAAAGCGUGGGGAGCAAACAGGAUUAGAUACCCUUGUAGUC
rnacentral:rRNA from 1 species